CGCCAGACCGGCCCAUUAGCACAUUCCACGACCUUCCCCUGUUCGCACCCCGUCUCUAACCUCCCUCGAUUCCAGCCGGCCUCCACACACGACCCGCCGCUGCCCCGUGCUUCCUCCCUCACCGGCACGGAGUUUCCUCCCCCGCCGCCCCGCGCUUCCUCCCCCGCACCCCCACCAUCGCCGGGAUCCUCACUCUUCUGCUCCACCACCGCCGUGGCGACCUCCCCAGAUCCCCGCCAUUGGGCGACCUCCCAGACCUCCCCGCAGCCGCGCCAUGACUGGCUCCUUCCCCAUCAUCGGAGCGCCACAUCCCCCGCCGCCGGAGCGCCACCUCCCUAGGCGCCUCACUCCUCCAACCCCGACAUGCGCGACCCACUAGGCGCCGCAUCUGCAUCUCGCUGCUCCGCUCCCCCGGCUGCCGGCGAGCCAUCCGCCCCGCUCCAUGAUGGACGCCAUCUCCCCGCACGCCGGCGCUCCAUCCGCCCCGGCCCGCUCCCCAGCCAAAACCCAGAGGACCCCCGUUUCUCCUUCCUCGGUAAGACCUCUGUCCUGUCCGGCGGCUGUAGGUGAGCAAAACAAGGUGAUGUACAGAAACACAAUUCCUUCUCUGUACUUCUCUCGAUUUUCUUGGGCCGUUCGGAUAGUACUCAUCGGGCAGGUCGAGCAAAAUUCUCGUGGAAGGUCGAACAAGAUUGUUGGAAUUCCUCUUGCUUUUUGAGAAAAGCUUCAGUUUGAUGUGUGCGUGCUCCGUGCAGAGGCAUGUGUGUUAGUAUGUGUGUGUGUGCUCGCGUGCUCCGCCAGCAGAGGCAUGCACAUCCUCAUCCUCCCGCUGCAGUCCAGAUUGGGGUGCAAACACCGUCCAGUUGAUGGUGAGAUAGAUUUUGGCGAGUCUUCCAUGAUGAUGAAAAAUACCAGCUAUUGUGAUAGCUAGGUGGGGAGAUGUCAUUUCUGAGAGUGUGGACCUUUGUGUAGUUGUUCAAUAACCAUCGCAUGUAUACUGGAUGAAAAUGGGUGUUCGCUACAGGAUGCUGCUUGCACUUAACGUAUAGAAUUUUUAUUUUU